rnacentral:rRNA from 1 species
UACGGGAGGCAGCAGGGGGAAUAUUGCACAAUGGGCGCAAGCCUGAUGCAGCCAUGCCGCGUGUAUGAAAAAGGCCUUCGGGUUGUAAAGUACUUUCAGUCGUGAGGAAGGUGUUAAGGUUAAUAACCUUAGCAAUUGACGUUAGCGACAGAAGAAGCACCGGCUAACUCCGUGCCAGCAGCCGCGGUAAUACGGAGGGUGCGAGCGUUAAUCGGAAUUACUGGGCGUAAAGGGCACGCAGGCGGUUAAUUAAGUUGGAUGUGAAUCCCCGGGCUUAACCUGGGAAUGGCAUUCAAGACUGGUUAGCUAGAGUCUUGUAGAGGGGGUAGAAUUCCAUGUGUAGCGGUGAAAUGCGUAGAGAUGUGGAGGAAUACCGGUGGCGAAGGCGGCCCCUGGACAAAGGCUGGACGCUCAUGUGCGAAAGCGUGGGGAGCAAACAGGGAUUAGGGAUACC